rnacentral:rRNA from 1 species
UUACUCCUACGGGAGGCAGCAGUGAGGAAUAUUGGUCAAUGGACGCAAGUCUGAACCAGCCAUGCCGCGUGCAGGAAGACGGCUCUAUGAGUUGUAAACUGCUUUUGUACAAGGGUAAACCCUGGGACGUGUCCCAGGCUG